GAUGAACGCUGGCGGCGUGCUUAACACAUGCAAGUCGAACGGAAAGGCCCAAGCUUGCUUGGGUACUCGAGUGGCGAACGGGUGAGUAACACGUGGGUGAUCUGCCCUGCACUUCGGGAUAAGCCUGGGAAACUGGGUCUAAUACUGGAUAGGACCACUUCUUGGAUGGUGUGGUGGAAAGUUUUUUCGGUGUGGGAUGAGCUCGCGGCCUAUCAGCUUGUUGGUGGGGUAAUGGCCUACCAAGGCGUCGACGGGUAGCCGGCCUGAGGGGGUGUACGGCCACAUUGGGACUGAGAUACGGCCCAGACUCCUACGGGAGGCAGCAGUGGGGAAUAUUGCACAAUGGGCGCAAGCCUGAUGCAGCGACGCCGCGUGGGGGAUGACGGCCUUCGGGUUGUAAACUCCUUUCGCUAGGGACGAAGCGUUUUUGUGACGGUACCUGGAGAAGAAGCACCGGCUAACUACGUG
rnacentral:rRNA from 1 species